rnacentral:piRNA from 1 species
GGCCCAGGCCUGCUGUAGCAACAUGGAGAGC